AAACCGGGGGAACAACCUGGCUCAAUGGAUCGAUGAAGACCGCAGC
rnacentral:rRNA from 1 species